UACGGAGGGUGCAAGCGUUAAUCGGAAUUAUUGGGCGUAAAGCGCACGUAGGCGGCAUUGCAAGUCGGAUGUGAAAUCCCUCGGCUUAACCAAGGAAGUGCAUCCGAAACUGCAGUGCUUGAGUACUUAAGAGGAUCGCGGAAUUCCCGGUGUAGAGGUGAAAUUCGUAGAUAUCGGGAGGAACACCAGUGGCGAAGGCGGCGAUCUGGGAAGAUACUGACGCUGAGGUGCGAAAGCGUGGGGAGCAAACAGG
rnacentral:rRNA from 1 species